rnacentral:rRNA from 1 species
AACGAACGCUGGCGGCAGGCCUAACACAUGCAAGUCGAACGCCCUAGCAAUAGGGAGUGGCAGACGGGUGAGUAACACGUGGGAACGUGCCUUUCGGUUCGGAAUAACCCAGGGAAACUUGGACUAAUACCGGAUACGUGCGAGAGCAGAAAGAUUUAUCGCCGAAAGAUCGGCCCGCGUCCGAUUAGUUAGUUGGUGAGGUAAUGGCUCACCAAGGCGACGAUCGGUAGCUGGUCUGAGAGGAUGAUCAGCCA